rfam:Myotis lucifugus cont2.42219, whole genome shotgun sequence.
GCCCAUGUGGCUCAGUGGUUGAGCAUCAACCUAUGAAUCAGAAAGUCAUGGUUUGAUUCCCUGUCAGGGCA